GAUGAACGCUGGCGGCGUGCCUAAUACAUGCAAGUCGAACGCGCAGCGAAAGGUGCUUGCACCUUUCAAGCGAGUGGCGAACGGGUGAGUAACACGUGGAUAACCUGCCUCAAGGCUGGGGAUAACAUUUGGAAACAGAUGCUAAUACCGAAUAAAACUUAGUAUCGCAUGAUACAAAGUUAAAAGGCGCUACGGCGUCACCUAGAGAUGGAUCCGCGGUGCAUUAGUUAGUUGGUGGGGUAAAGGCUUACCAAGACGAUGAUGCAUAGCCGAGUUGAGAGACUGUGCGGCCACAUUGGGACUGAGACACGGCCCAAACUCCUACGGGAGGCUGCAGUAGGGAAUCUUCCACAAUGGGCGCAAGCCUGAUGGAGCAACGCCGCGUGUGUGAUGAAGGCUUUCGGGUCGUAAAGCACUGUUGUAUGGGAAGAAAUGCUAAAAUAGGGAAUGAUUUUAGUUUGACGGUACCAUACCAGAAAGGGACGGCUAAAUACGUGCCAGCAGCCGCGGUAA
rnacentral:rRNA from 1 species